rnacentral:rRNA from 1 species
CACGUAGGGCGCGAGCGUUGUCCGGAAUUAUUGGGCGUAAAGAGCUCGUAGGCGGCCUGUUGCGUCCGCUGUGAAAGCCCGGGGCUUAACCCCGGGUCUGCAGUGGAUACGGGCAGGCUAGAGGUAGGUAGGGGAGAAUGGAAUUCCCGGUGUAGCGGUGAAAUGCGCAGAUAUCGGGAGGAACACCGGUGGCGAAGGCGGUUCUCUGGGACGGUACUGACGCUGAGACGCGAAAGCGUGGGGAGCAAACAGG